GAUGAACGCUGGCGGCGUGCCUAAUACAUGCAAGUUGAGCGAACAGACUAGGAGCUUGCUCCUCUGACGUUAGCGGCGGACGGGUGAGUAACACGUGGAUAACCUACCUAUAAGCCUGGGAUAACUUCGGGAAACCGGAGCUAAUACCGGAUAAUAUAUUUAACCGCAUGGUUCAAUAGUGAAAGACGCUUUUGCUGUCCUUUAUAGUUAGAUCCGGGCCUCUUUAGCUAGUUGGUAAGGUAACGGCUUACAAAGGCAACGAUGCGUAGCCGACCUGAGAGGGGAUUGGGCCACACGGGAACGGAGACACGGUCCAGACUCCUACGGGGGGCAGCAGAAGGGAAUCUUCCGCAAUGGGGGAAAUCUGGCCGGAGAAACGCCGCGUGAUGGAUGAAGGUCUUCGGAUCGUAAAACUCUGUUAUUAGGGAAGAACAAAUGUGGAAGUAACUAUGCACGAAUUGACGGUACCUAAUCAGAAAGGGACGGCUAACUACGUG
rnacentral:rRNA from 1 species